GACCCAAUGGCACAGCGGUUAGUGCGCUUACUUCAAGGUCACUCGAAAGUAAGAGAUCCGUGUUCGAUUCACGGUGCGGUCC